rnacentral:lncRNA from 1 species
UACUUUGAGGUCAAUCCUAUUUGUGAGAUGUUCUGGAUCUCUCAUGUGUUGGUAUAGUGAUAAGCUGAUGGUUAUUUAGGAAUCCAAAAUGAGCAUUUAAUUAAUCUAUAAUUUUUAACUCUCCAAAGGGGAAUUGAAAUAAUGAUACCUAAAUGAUGUUGUUGAUUAAUAGUUUGAUAUCAUUGGAAGGGAAAUUUCAGGUGGUUCUACAUGAUUUUGUCCUUUGCCUGAAUCUCAGGAAAAUAAAUAGAGACACACUGGAUGAGAGAAUCAGGAAGAAAAACGGUACUGAGAGGUAAGGAGUGAUGAGCCAAAGUUCAAAAGAUUUAAGGAGGUGGUGGUAAAUGUAAAUAUCUGUAAUUGGGUUCAAGACCUGAUUCUGAGAGGCUUGUUUCAGACAGACAUGUCUUAGCAGUGGCAUGUGUGGGAAAGUCUUUGUGUCAAAGAAUGACAACGUAAAUCGCAGCUAUGGAGAAAUAGGUGAACAGAAGGAGUUGGUCCUGAUUUACUCUGAAUCAGUCACAGCACAUCUGUGACACUCAUGACAAGCUUAGAGAAGCGUAGAGACAAGCAAGUUGAAGUAAGCUCAGAAGAGAGAGGUUAGGAUGGUGCUGGGCUUGAACAAAGAAAACCAGAGGUUUCUUGGACUGGAAAGAGAAGACACAUGGACAUGUUAGUGUUCAAGCCAAGAGGUGGUUAAUGUUAAACUUAAUUUGACUUGUUCUGCUUGGCUCCAAGAGGUUAAUGAAAAAUGGAUAGAGCAUCAAGGUAAUAAAUAUUUGGUUUACUUUAAGAAACAGUGUUUCAUAACUGAAAAUGUAAAAGAUCAUCUGACAGGUGGUAUAUUUUCUGUCAUUGGGGAAUUUACUCAUAUGCUAAAAAAUCAAUCAUGGUAGGGAUUUAGACAUAGGAAGCAUAGUUGGACUAAUAACCUCUAAACCCCUAUUGAGGCUGCAAGUCGUGAAUAUAUGAUUCCAGUAUUUACAUGCCUAACUGAAUGUUUGUUACUUGUGCAGCAUUUGAAUUAGCCUUGACAAAGAAGGUUCAAACUUAAAUUUUUACAUAUGAGGUUUAAACAUUAAUCUGGGUAAUUUUAGCUCUGGAUUAUUGGUAGUUUAGAAUGUGUAAUGGGAUUGUAUUUUACUGUGAUCAUGCUAAGCUCCAAUUCUGGUCCAUCCAUUAAUGAGCUGUGUAGAAGUGUGCUGAAACUGGCUCAUACCAGCUCAGGAGAGCUGACCAUGCAUUUCUUCCAAGUUUGCAUUCAGAGACUUUAUAUUAGCAGUUUGAAAUUGGCCAUACUUGGGGUACUUACAGCAUGCAAAGCAGAAAACAAUACGCAUCAGGGUUUUUUGCACUCUCUGGAAAGCUGGUUGUUAAACAUUUACCAGUAGGACCAUUAAAAAAUAUUUUUAUGUGAACUCUAAUAUAUAAAACAGAUAAAUGAAGAAUGAAGUUAGGGGAGAGGGGCCAUAAGCCACACCCAGUUGGCUUCUUCCCUUGCCAGAGCAUGUCAUUCCCCAAUAAAAAGCUCUAAGGCUUCUCUAUGGCACCCUAUAACUCCUUGGGAUUUAAAAACCUCUGGAAAAAACAAUCCUUUUUUUCUUACUCUAUGAGUAUAGACUUUUAACUGUUAUUUUUAUUUUCCUAGACUUAGAAAUACAGACAUAAAACAGCAGGGUUUCCCUCAGUUUUAUAAGAUUGUCUUUAAAAUGCAGAGCCAAAGGGAUCAGUUUGAGAACAUUGGAAAUUUGAUUCCUACAAAUAACAAGAAGAAAUGCACUUAGGAAACAGUGAGUUUCCUCGCUUUGUAAGUGUUCUUAAUGUAAUUAUGGGUUUUCUCUUGUAAUGCACAGCUAGCCCAAUGUGUUACGUGUUUGUUGUAAACCUCAAACUUUUCCAUUAGCAUAUACCUUUUUUUUUUGUUAGGCUAGAAACGUGAUAUCCUAAGGGAAUAAGAUUUGGUGGAAUGUUGUGAUAUGUGGAGUAGGGGCUAUGGAAAGGCAGUUUUAAAUGAUUCACAAACUUCUGGAUGGGCUCCUAAAAAAGGUUAGAGGACAUUAAAAGGAUAUCUUCCCAGAGGCAAACUCUGUCCACUUGCUUUUUUCAACUACAUGGCCUGUUUCCUGCAGUACCUGAAAAUGGCCCUAGGAGGAUUGCAUAGGCUGUCAGGCAACUGGAACAUAAGUCUAGGCAUCUUGAGUGAUAUGCAUGAGGUAACCUUGAUGUUUUCAGGGUAUCCAUACAUCAGAGGACAUGCAUGGCAUGAUCUGCUGCAAAUUCUAUCAAGUCAAAUCAACUUUAUCACUGAUUGUGGAAUUCCUAUUCUCAAAUGCUGAAGUGCUAUCAUAUGUGCAUAUUUUUGUUUGAAUAUUUUCAUCUGAAUUUCUCUUGUGAUCUGAACUCUGAUGGUUUCUUUAAUCUCAUCCUUCUCAUUUUCCCCAGAAUUAGAGCAAGUUCAUUUUUCUAUCAAGGUCUUCCACUUCUAUUGCCUCUUUCCUUGACUUUGCCCCCUGAUUACCCUUAUACCAAGUUCCCAUCUUCAGAGGGAAGAGCAGAGUCCUGGCUGGCUAGAUUGUAGCCCUUAUCUCUACCUACACUCCUUCCUGUUCCCUUCUCUUGCCAAGCUUCCCUCUUCACUCUGCCCUUCAGUCCCAAGCCGGCUUUGGCCUUCACAUCAUUUUCUGCCACAUGCCCUUCUGUUAAAGCCAUGUCCUAAUCUGCUCUGCCAUGGACUGUCUCCUUCCUCUGCGUAAAUCUUCCCUAGUGUCCGUAGUCUUCAACCUGCUAUGUUGUCUUCUGCCAGUUAGGGUUAGAUCUCUAUUUCUUGACUUAUAUUUGAGUCUUUUUACUUAAAUUAUUUGCACUGAAGCUAUACCACCUUUAUCAGAUAUUAAGCACACAUCAUAAGGUGAAGUAUGAUGCAACCUCAAAUCUCUUUAAGUUAAGAAGGAUUUACUCUUUUGGUUUCUCCUCAAAUGCAAAGAACAAUUAAAAAUAUUCCAAAAUAAUUAACAAAAAUCAAUUCAGAAAAUAUUAUUCUCUUAGAACAUAGAUCAGAAGUAGAGACUGAUUCAUUGUAUCACUCCAAUCUACAGAGACAACCAAGUCAAGCAAAAUUACUUUAUUAUGUAGUAUAACUUUGCUAUGAAUUUUGGAAGACAGAUCAUUUUUUGAUCAAAUGUAUGGCAACUCUGUGUUUUUUUCAAAUCUAAGGCUACGACACCUAGUGUUAGUUUUGGGUAUUGCUAAAUAAUUCACAGAAAAUGUAUUAAAGUCUCUAGCUAAAAAAGUUUCAUUUAAUAUCUUAUAUACCUUGUGAGGUUUAUUCAGGUUAUGACAUCAUCUCAGAAUAGAUCUCAGCUUACUCUUUUACAUGCAAAUUGCACAAUAGAAUUUGAAGUCAGAAGGCUGGGUUCUAGAUGUAGAACUGGCUAAUUCCUGUGUUCUUGUGCAAACUAUUUUCCUUUUCAAGUCUGUCUGAGUGCCCACAUUGGUAAAAUGAGAGUGAUGUAAUAUUUUACUUAUCUCUAGGCCCUUUCAAACUCUAGUACACUGUGAGAUAUCUUUUUAAAGCAGUGGAUAUAUAUGCCAACUCCAUUCAGAAGCUUGGAAUAUAUUCCCAAUAUAUUAGUAAUUAAAACAAUUAGUUGGAGGAGUAUUGUUAUUUAUUUGCUUAAAAAAUAAAAACUGAUCUUAUGAGUUAUAACAAAGAACUAAAAUAGGAUUUUAAUGAUUUUGUGAUGAUGGAAAUGUUCUAUAUCUGCAUUGCUCAAUACUUAACACUUAAAAUGUAGCUAGUGAGACCGAAGAACUAAAUUUUAAUUUUAUUUAAUGUAAGUUUGAUUUAAAUUUUAAUAGUCACAUAUGACUAGUGGCUAUCAUCUUGGACAAUACAGAUUUAUAGAGUAUAGGAAAUAUGGGAACUUCUCAAUGAAUUUGCGGUGGUAUUCACCAAAUAUACUUAAUUUGCUUUCUAUGCAGAUUGGCUGUACAUUACUCUUGUUAUUUCACACUCACCAGUCCCAUUUUUUUUUUUUUUUUUGCCAGAAUUCACCAUGCAAGCCCUUUAGGGUCUAUUCCGUAAUUGUAUUUUCUGUCAUGGUUUCAGCUAUGUAGGUCUGGUUUAAUUGAAUUAAAAUAAAGCAAAGAUAUUCUUUCUGCCUCACAAACAAGGAUUAAAACAUGAAAAAACAUUGAGAACACUUAGUGAUACUUAGUAAAUGUGAAUUUCAGUGUCUAACCCCCUACAGUUAUUUUUCUAAACUUAUUAUAAUUAUUUUUUUUUUGCAUUUGAGAGUUCAGGUUAAAAAAAAACUUGUGUCCCAUGAGAUAACUAAGUAUAUAAUUUUCUUUUUAUAAUGGUGUCCACAGAGAAAUAAAUACUUAGUUUUUUUAAAAUGUUAUUUAAGUUAAAUUUUAGCUUUUUAAAAAUCUGAAGGAUUUUGAAUAGAAACCUCAUCCCAUUGAAUUCAUUCAAAAUUAUUUAUCAUUAGAUAUACUUUCUUUUGUGGUCUUGCAGUUAAAAUUAAACCCACUCAUCAAACUCUUUCAUUAGCAUAUAAUCUGUCUUGACUUCUAUUAUUGACAUCAUGGAAGAUACUUUAAUUUUACCCCAUAGAAGACCUUUACUUUUACCCAGAUAACUUCUCCAACACACACACACACACAUGAACACAAAUACACACAAAAAAUACACAGACAUAUACAUGACACAUACUAAUUCGCAAACAUGUAUACAUGUACAUUUAUACACAUUUUUUUUUUAAGAUUUAGGGUGACUAGAAAUAGCUUAUUAUAUUGUUAUUGAAAGAACCUCUCUAACAAUGUGCAUAUGCAUGGGAAGAUCUGGUCCAUGAUAAGUAGAAAAAUAAUAUGUGACUUAUAAAAUUUGGUUGUAACAUCUAUAAUGAAUUUUAUCUUUUCCAUACCUAAGCCUGCUGUACCCUAAAUUCUGCCUUAUUAUAAAAUUACUGUGC